UUGGAGGGCAAGUCUGGUGCCAGCAGCCGCGGUAAUUCCAGCUCCAAUAGCGUAUAUUAAAGUUGUUGCAGUUAAAAAGCUCGUAGUUGAAUUUCGGGAUCAAUGUUUCGGUCAUGCCGUUGGUAUGUACUGAUAUUAUUGAUUUCUCACCUUCUAAAGAACUGUAAUGCCAUUAAUUUGGUGUCACGGGGAAUUAGGACUGUUACCUUGAAAAAAUUAGAGUGUUUAAAGCAGGCUCACGCUUGAAUACAUUAGCAUGGAAUAAUGAAAUAGGACAUCCGAUUCUAUUUUGUUGGUUUCUAGGAUCGAUGUAAUGAUUAAUAGGGAUAGUUGGGGGCAUUAGUAUUCAAUUGUCAGAGGUGAAAUUCUUGGAUUUAUUGAAGACUAACUACUGCGAAAGCAUUUGCCAAGGAUGUUUUCAUUAAUCAAGAACGAAAGUUAGGGGAUCGAAGACGAUCAGAUACCGUCGUAGUCUUAACCAUAAACUAUGCCGACUAGGGAUCGGAUGAUGUUAAUUUUUUAAUGACUCAUUCGGCGCCUUACGGGAAAC
rnacentral:rRNA from 1 species